rnacentral:rRNA from 1 species
CAAUACACAGUGGCGCACGGGUGAGUAAUUUAUCGCUAAUGUACCCUAGAGCCUGGGAUAGCUGCCCGAAAGGGCAGGUAAUACCAGAUGAAAUGACUGAAUCGCAUGAUUCGGUUCUCAAAGCCGCAAGGCACUCCUGGAGCAGGCGAUAUCGUAUCAGCUAGUUGGUGAGGUAACGGCUCACCAAGGCUAUGACGCGUAGCUGGUCUGAGAGGACGACCAGCCACAUCGGGACUGAGACACUGCCCGGACUCCUACGGGGGGCUGCAGUAACGAAUCUUCCGCAAUGCACGAAAGUGUGACGGAGCGACGCCGCGUGUAGGAUGAAGUCCUUCGGGAUGUAAACUACUGUCAGGGGAAAGAAAGUUCUGAUCUACCCCAGAGGAAGAGGCGGCUAACUCUGUGCCAGCAGCCGCGGUAAUACAGAGGCCUCGAGCGUUAGGCGGAAUCACUGGGCUUAAAGCGUGUGUAGGUGGAUGCCUAAGUACCUUGUGAAAUCCCACAGCUUAACUGUGGAAUUGCUUGGUAUACUGGGUGUCUUGAGCCACUCAGGGGCUACCGGAACAAGCGGUGGAGCGGUGAAAUGCGUAGAUAUCGCUUGGAACGCCAAUGGUGAAAACAGGUAGCUGGGGGUGUGCUGACACUGAGACACGAAAGCCAGGGGAGCAAACGGGAUUAGAUACCCCGGUAGUCCUGGCCCUAAACGAUGUCCACUAGAUCGUGGCGGUUCUAACGCCGUCAUGGUCGAAGCAAAAGUGCUAAGUGGACCGCCUGGGAAGUACGGUCGCAAGGCUAAAACUCAAAGGAAUUGAC